CAAACACAUGGCAAAAAGAAAAAUCCCUUCAAGAAGUGAAUAUUUUAGAAAUAUUGUAGUUAAUUGUGCAAGAAAUAUUGUGCAUUCGGUGACUCCUAAAGUUACGUACGGUUUGUGCAAGUGCAAACUUAGUUCAAGUUGUCAACGCGUUCUUUGGCAUCGUGUAAAAGUGAUAAAGUUAUUGUUUAAAAAUGGAUAAAUGGUGCCUCCUUAGCGGCUAAUCGAAUAAUAUUUGAAAAGUUGCCGGUGAACCACAAUUAAAGAUAGCAGCCCUUAAAAGGUAAUAUCUGUGGAGGGAUCAGAAACACCUCUCUAGAAAGGGCGGAUUUUUUUUAAGGCUUUGAGAUAUGAAGAUUGCGGGUGAACCACAAUUAAGGAUAAAACAUCUUGAGAGAUGGUAUCUGCAGAGGAAUCAGAAAAACUUCUCUAGAAAGGGUGAUUUAUUGGACGGAAUAUGCUUUAAGAUAU